CGUGGUUCUUCGGCGAGAUCAUUUCAUGACGAAUAGUUUGACAUUCAAGAGUGAUGACUUCGUGCAGAAUAGCAGCUGGUUUGAAGACUGCUGGAGGUUUCAAAAUGAUCAGCACAAAUAUCUGCCAGCCUGUCUACAAAUCAAAUGUUGUUUUUGACAGUAGCGGAAAAUGUCGUCGCAAGCAGCUGUUCUUUGAUGUUUGCAAACGACCAACCGAUAAAUAAUCUACAUCAGAAAUGACAACUCAAAGUCAAAUUCUUCAAAGAUGGCUUGAAAACUAAGUGGGAUGUUGUCAUCCAUGGAAGUGCCUUCUAAGAUGGUCAAUUUCUUCAAAGCUGACUUGAAGACUAGGUGGGAAAUUGUCAGCCAUGGAAGUGCCUCCUAAGAUGGAUGAAUGGGUAAAUUUCUUCAAAGAUGAUGAGAUUGAUGUGAAGACUUUUUGGGAAAUUGUCAUCCAUUGAGGUGCCUCCUAAGAUGGUGCAAGAGUUUUGUGCCGACUUUCAGCAGCAUGUUCAAGUCUUGUCAAACCUCCAGGGUACAACAGUUUUGUGCCGUCUGUUUCAGCAACAUGUCAAAGCCUUAUCAUACACUCCAGGGUUUGUUCUCGAAACUCAAGAGGGCCUCUGUCGUCAAUAAUGAAGCUGUCGAGUAAACUGGAUUUGCAGAAGGAACAAGACUAAGAUGGAUCAAAGGGAGUCAUGUGCAUCAAUAAUCGCCUUAAAUCAUCAAGUCUCGCUUGGCUUUGCUUGGAAGGGAAGUUUCAUUGCCAAAGAUUUCCACUUUAAGAUAACAUCUUUGCUGGCUGAACUCGGCUUUGGUUUCUUCCACGUGAUUUCAUCAUUUGGUUGCUGCUGAACCGUCUUUGUUUUCCUUUACGCAAUUUCAUUAUUUGGUUGCUGCUGAACCGUCUUUGUUUUCCUUUACGCAGUAUCGUCUUUACGAAGAUGAGGAUUGCGGAACUCUUGAAGCAUUUUCUUCUGUUUGGUUGACGCACAAUUGGAGAAAGCUCAUGCUGAAAGAACAAUUUGGUGGAUUCAACUUGUAACCUGUGAAAAUUUAAUUUCAAAAGGCGGUUGCGUUUGUGAUUUAUCGUCGAAAAUCCGAAUCGAAUGUGCCCUGCAGGAAUAAAGAUUUAAAAUUGGAAAACACAAUCUGUGAGGCAUUACUCAAAAUCUUUGUACUAUCCUAUGGAAAGCUGCUUCACUUCUAAGUUCUUACAAUCGAGUUUUUGUUUACAUGUUUUAAAGGCACUGGACAUAAUUAUUAAUAUAAAACUCAAAAGACGUUUUAGCAUAAAA